AUUCUCAAAUCAGGUAGACGUCAGCC
rnacentral:rRNA from 1 species